AACAGCAGUGGAAGCAAAAGAGAAAGAGAGAGCUGCUGUACUGGACUAUUCUGCAAGUUCCAUCCCAGAACGGAACCUUGUUGCGGCGAGCGUUGCUUCCCAAUCUGACAGUCUUGCUAUGUAGCCCAGACUGGCCUUGAACUCACAGUGAUUCUCCUGCCUCAGUCUCCAGAGCGACAGGAUUACUUGCAUGCACCACCACACCCAGCUAAGACUUUAUGAAAAUGUUAUUUUCACCUUCUGGGAUAAAGCCCUAAGAGUGGAAUUGAUGAGAGGUGAAUGCGUCAACUUUUACAUCUACUAGGUUAUAAGUCAUUACAAUGCUUCCUUUGUUUGCCCAGCAGCUGUAGUUUAGAUUCACACUCAGGCAGUCCCUUCUGAGUCCAUGUUGUAAACCAUGAAGCAAAGGUCCUAAGGUAGCAUAAGACCUCCAGUCUCACCACUAGCUUAGUGUGAAACUCCUAGGAAAGAUGUAACUGUCGGGUACUUCUGUGCCAUGUAUUAAGAGAUAGAAUACUUAAUAGCUAUGUCAUUCAAAUUCUCAGAGACCAGAACCUAGAUUUGUAAACCUAUGAAGUAUAAACACUUAACUGCACAACUUAGUUAAACCCACUACUAUAAAUUGAUUAGGCAGCAACUCAUUUUACUUGCUUUCUGAAAAUGAGUGCUCUUGAGAUCAAGGCCCAUCCCAAUGAUAUUCUAGGAAGGAUAUCUGCCAGACUGUGAAAAUAGUUACCGUGCAGUUAUAAACAUUUCCGAAUACUCACUGUGUGUGCCUGGUACUGUGCUAGUAGCUGGUGUUAUAAACUGAAUUGUGCCCCACCCCCAAAAAAUAUAUUUGUUGAAUUCAUUCAUACCUUGGCAUGGGACUGUAUUUGGAAAUAGGGUCUUUUUUUUUUUUUGGUACCGGGCAUUGAAAUCGGGUCCUUGCGCUUGGGUAGCAGGCGGCGAAACCACUGAGCUAAAUCCCCGGCCCUGGAAAUAGGGUCUUUAUGGAGAUAAUCGAGUUAAACUGAGGUUUAAUCAGGUUUAAACUGAAAACUUAAUCCAAGAUGGCUGGUGUUCUUAGAAGAUGGGAAAUUGGGACAAAAUCAGGCAGGCACAGAGGGAAGACAAUGUGAAGAUACCACUGACAAGCCAAGGCAAAAGUCUGGAACCUUCCCUCAUAUCCUUUAAAAGGAACCAACCCUGCCAAUGCCUUCAUUUGGGACAUCUGGUCUCCAGGACUUUGAGACAUUGCAGGCCGCUUGCCCGGCGUGGUUCUGUGUGGUUCAAGAGAGAUUGGUUAUAAGGCAGUGGUCCUUUCUCUGAAGUCGCCAAUACAUUUUAACAACAACAGUAUCAUCAGAAAAAUACGCUCCACAAACUCACUGGCAUCCUACUGCCUCACCCUGCUGAUUGCUGAGAUUACAGAUGUGAGCCACUACGCCUGACCUCACUUUAUUUUUGAAAUUUGUUCUAUUUUUAUAUAUGAAUUUGGGCUUCUUCUGCAAUUCAUAUAGAUGAUUCCCAGUUUGUUUCUUUCUGAAGAACAAUUAGGCUAGUUCCAGCCCUGCAACAAUCAGUAGGUUCUUACAGAGGUGUUCACUGUUGCUGGGAUGGAACCUAGGGCCUCACCAUUCCCAACCCUCGAUAACCUGUUGCUGUAAGAGCUAAACUACUCCCCGAGACCAGGGCAGUGCCCUGGGAGCUGACUGUCUUCCUGGGGCUCCACCGUCUCUACACCGCCACUCUGGGACCGAGAUUCCAGCACAUAGGAGAACACACCAUGCCCACACACAGCAUCAGGUUAAAUAUGUCAUCGAAACCAAUUGGAUCUAUUUCAUUUUACUUUUUUAUGUGGCCACCAGGAAAUUAAAAACCAGUGAUCGUAUGUGUAUGGAGGACAGCACUGGUGAAGAACUCCAAGGAGACACGAAUUCCCUGUGGUGGCCAGCAGUUGGCUGUCCCAUGGCAGCACGCCCUCUGGCUUCUUGAGGCCGCUCCCUAAACAGAAGACAGCCCAGGAGAAGCUGGCCACCCUUUUGGAAGAGGAACAAGGCUGCUGUCUCAUUUUUGCCCACAGGUGGAAUCUGCUUAGUCUUACUUUUGGAUGCUGCCUUUAGGGUUUAAUUUGUUUCAAAUUAACACCAGGUGGCAGAUGCAAUUAAAAGGGAAAGUCACAAAUUUAGCAUGGUAUUUUGAACUUCCUUAUUUAUGGUGGCAGUUACACAUUCAGGGAAUUAAUGCUAAUUAUUUUGAAUUAUUUGUUUAUGCAUUGUGUUGGUGUUUGCCUUGUACUAAUUAAUGCUCCACAACUUAUGCUACAUCCUCUGUGACUAAUUAAUCAAACCAAAAUGCCAGACUAGUGAUCCUGAAGUGAAGGAGGCACUUUCAAAAGAUUCUCUCGGGGGCCCCAUCACUUCCCCCAGGUUUGUGGCCCACCCUGCCCUGGAAUUGCUGCUGUCCAGAGUCACUGUUGCUAAACCUUCCAGUGCCUUAGGACAGAACAAGUGGUGAUAAUGACAGAGACAUUUGGGUGCUCUGGGCUACAUAGUGAACUCAAGGACAGCCUGAACUACAUGGUGAGACCCUGUUUUUAAAAAAAAAG